rnacentral:rRNA from 1 species
GAUCAUGGCUCAGAUUGAACGCUGGCGGCAGGCCUAACACAUGCAAGUCGAGCGGUAGAGAGAAGCUUGCUUCUCUUGAGAGCGGCGGACGGGUGAGUAAUGCCUAGGAAUCUGCCUGGUAGUGGGGGAUAACGUUCGGAAACGGACGCUAAUACCGCAUACGUCCUACGGGAGAAAGCAGGGGACCUUCGGGCCUUGCGCUAUCAGAUGAGCCUAGGUCGGAUUAGCUAGUUGGUGAGGUAAUGGCUCACCAAGGCGACGAUCCGUAACUGGUCUGAGAGGAUGAUCAGUCACACUGGAACUGAGACACGGUCCAGACUCCUACGGGAGGCAGCAGUGGGGAAUAUUGGACAAUGGGCGAAAGCCUGAUCCAGCCAUGCCGCGUGUGUGAAGAAGGUCUUCGGAUUGUAAAGCACUUUAAGUUGGGAGGAAGGGCAGUUACCUAAUACGUGAUUGUUUGACGUUACCGACAGAAUAAGCACCGGCUAACUCUGUG